UAAAGUUGGCUUGACGUUGGACGUUGGAUAUUCGCAAAUCUAGGGACCGUCUCUAAAGUUACACGAGAAACUACUAUACACUUCUCUAACGUCAAUAGCAUGCAAGGAGAAUGACUAACAGUCACGAAAACAACUUUUAACUGUUCAUCCAGGUGUCAACUAUAAUGCACACCUUUUAUAUUUUUUGAUAAUUAUUAAAAUAAACUGUAAAUCAUGUGGAAAACAAUUGCUACUUUUCAUUACCGAAUGGACUUAAAUACAAAUUGAAAGCUCAAUAACAUUUGAACAGAAUGAUUCACUUUCAUAAAACAUACUGUAAAGUGUUCAUCUAGGUGUCAGCUAUAAUGCACACCUUUUAUAUUUUUCAUAAUUAUUCAAAUAGACUGUAAAUCAUGUGUAAAAUAUUGCUACUUUUCAUUACCGAAUGGGCUUAAAUACAAAUUUAAAGCUCAAUAAAAAUUUAACAGAAUGACUCACAUUCAUAAAACAUACUGUAAAGUGUUCAUCUAGGUGUCAGCUAUAAUGCACACCUUUUAUAUUUUUCAGAAUUAUUCAAAUAGACUGUAAAUCAUUUGUAAAAUAUUGCUACUUUUCAUUACCGAAUGGGCUUAAAUACAAAUUUAAAGCUCAAUAAAAAUUGAACAGGAUGACUCACUUUCAUAAAACAUACUGUAAAGUGUUCAUCUAGGUGUCAGCUAUAAUGCACACCUUUUAUAUUUUUCAUAAUUAUUCAAAUAGACUGUAAAUCAUGUGUAAAAUAUUGCUACUUUUCAUUACCGAAUGGGCUUAAAUACAAAUUUAAAGCUCAAUAAAAAUUGAACAGAAUGACUCACAUUCAUAAAACAUACUGUAAAGUGUUCAUCUAGGUGUCAGCUAUAAUGCACACCUUUUAUAUUUUUCAUAAUUAUUCAAAUAGACUGUAAAUCAUGUGUAAAAUAUUGCUACUUUUCAUUACCGAAUGGGCUUAAAUACAAAUUUAAAGCUCAAUAAAAAUUGAACAGGAUGACUCACUUUCAUAAAACAUACUGUAAAGUGUUCAUCUAGGUGUCAGCUAUAAUGCACACCUUUUAUAUUUAUCAUAAUUAUUCAAAUAGACUGUAAAUCAUGUGUAAAAUAUUGCUACUUUUCAUUACCGAAUGGGCUUAAAUACAAAUUUAAAGCUCAAUAAAAAUUGAACAGGAUGACUCACUUUCAUAAAACAUACUGUAAAGUGUUCAUCUAGGUGUCAGCUAUAAUGCACACCUUUUAUAUUUUUCAUAAUUAUUCAAAUAGACUGUAAAUCAUGUGUAAAAUAUUGCUACUUUUCAUUACCGAAUGGGCUUAAAUACAAAUUUAAAGCUCAAUAAAAAUUGAACAGAAUGACUCACAUUCAUAAAACAUACUGUAAAGUGUUCAUCUAGGUGUCAGCUAUAAUGCACACCUUUUAUAUUUUUCAUAAUUAUUCAAAUAGACUGUAAAUCAUGUGUAAAAUAUUGCUACUUUUCAUUACCGAAUGGGCUUAAAUACAAAUUUAAAGCUCAAUAAAAAUUGAACAGAAUGACUCACAUUCAUAA